rnacentral:rRNA from 1 species
AGAGUUUGAUCAUGGCUCAGAACGAACGCUGGCGGCAGGCUUAACACAUGCAAGUCGAGCGCCCCGCAAGGGGAGCGGCAGACGGGUGAGUAACGCGUGGGAACAUACCCUUUGGUUCGGAAUAACUCAGGGAAACUUGAGCUAAUACCGGAUACGUCCGUAAGGAGAAAGAUUUAUCGCCAAAGGAUUGGCCCGCGUCCGAUUAGCUAGUUGGUGAGGUAACGGCUCACCAAGGCUACGAUCGGUAGCUGGUCUGAGAGGAUGAUCAGCCACAUUGGGACUGAGACACGGCCCAAACUCCUACGGGAGGCAGCAGUGGGGAAUAUUGGACAAUGGGCGCAAGCCUGAUCCAGCCAUGCCGCGUGAGUGAUGAAGGCCUUAGGGUUGUAAAGCUCUUUUGUCCGGGAAGAUAAUGACUGUACCGGAAGAAUAAGCCCCGGCUAACUUCGUGCCAGCAGCCGCGGUAAUACGAAGGGGGCUAGCGUUGUUCGGAAUCACUGGGCGUAAAGCGCACGUAGGCGGACCGUUAAGUCGGAGGUGAAAGCCUGGGGCUCAACCCCAGAACUGCCUUCGAUACUGGCGGUCUUGAGUAUGGUAGAGGUUGGUGGAACUCCGAGUGUAGAGGUGAAAUUCGUAGAUAUUCGGAAGAACACCAGUGGCGAAGGCGGCCAACUGGACCAUUACUGACGCUGAGGUGCGAAAGCGUGGGGGGCAAACAGGAUUAGAUACCCUGGUAGUCC